AUUUAUAUAAUAUAAAAUAUUAUAUUUGACUUCCAAUCAAAAAAUCUAAUUCUUAGUAUAAAUA
rnacentral:tRNA from 1 species